rnacentral:rRNA from 1 species
GCUAAGAAUAUUCCGCAAUGGACGAAAGUCUGACGGAGCGACGCCGCGUGGAUGAUGAAGGCCGAAAGGUUGUAAAGUCCUUUUGCUGGGGAAGAAUAAGCGUGGGAGGGAAUGCCCGCGUGAUGACAUGAACCGGCGAAUAAGCCCCGGCUAACUACGUGCCAGCAGCCGCGGUAACACGUAGGGGGCAAGCGUUGUUCGGAAUUACUGGGCGUAAAGGGCAUGUAGGCGGCCUUGUAAGCUUCGCGUGAAAGUCCACGGCUUAACCGUGGGAUUGCGAUGAGAACUGCGAGGCUUGAGUGACGGAGAGGGAGCUAGAAUUCCUGGUGUAGGGGUGGAAUCUGUAGAGAUCAGGAAGAAUACCAAUGGCGAAGGCAAGCUCCUGGCCGAUGACUGACGCUGAGGUGCGAAAGUGUGGGGAUCAAACAGGAUUAGAAACCCGGGUAGUCC